AACGAACGUUAGCGGCGCGCCUAACACAUGCAAGUCGAACGCGACAGGGGCAACUCUGUUGAGUGGCGCACGGGUGAGUAACACGUAGGUAAUCUCCCCCCGAGUGGUGGAUAACCUUCCGAAAGGAGGGCUAAUACAGCAUAAGACCACGGCUUCGAAAGGAGCUGAGGUCAAAGCGGAGGAUCGCAAGACUUCGCGCUUGGGGAUGAGCCUGCGGCCCAUCAGGUAGUUGGCGGGGUAACAGCCCACCAAGCCUAAGACGGGUAGCUGUCUGAGAGGAUGAUCAGCCACACUGGAACUGAGACACGGUCCAGACUCCUACGGGAGGCAGCAGUGGGGAAUCUUGCGCAAUGGACGAAAGUCUGACGCAGCGACGCCGCGUGGGUGAUGAAGGCCUUCGGGUUGUAAAGCCCUGUGGGGAGGGACGAAUAAGUUUCAGCUAAUACCUGAAGCGAUGACGGUACCUCCUUAGCAAGCACCGGCUAACUCUGUGCCAGCAGCCGCGGUAA
rnacentral:rRNA from 1 species